AUUGAACGCUGGCGGCAGGCCUAACACAUGCAAGUCGAACGGUAACAGGGAUCAGCUUGCUGAUUCGCUGACGAGUGGCGGACGGGUGAGUAAUGUCUGGGAAAUUGCCUGAUGGAGGGGGAUAACUACUGGAAACGGUAGCUAAUACCGCAUAACGUCGCAAGGCCAAAGAGGGGGACCUUCGGGCCUCUUGCCAUCGGAUGUGCCCAGAUGGGAUUAGCUAGUAGGUGGGGUAACGGCUCACCUAGGCGACGAUCCCUAGCUGGUCUGAGAGGAUGACCAGCCACACUGGAACUGAGACACGGUCCAGACUCCUACGGGAGGCAGCAGUGGGGAAUAUUGCACAAUGGGCGCAAGCCUGAUGCAGCCAUGCCGCGUGUAUGAAGAAGGCCUUCGGGUUGUAAAGUACUUUCAGCGGGGAGGAAGGGAGUAAAGUUAAUACCUUUGCUCAUUGACGUUACCCGCAGAAGAAGCACCGGCUAACUCCGUG
rnacentral:rRNA from 1 species